CCUUAAGAUGACCUAACGCAUCCACUCAGUGCCCAGGAGUUAAAUAACCAUAAAUGCUCAGUCUAUGUGGAUACUUCAUUGGGCAUGGAAUAUUUGUUUUAAUUUUGUGAGGGGUUUUUGAACUGCAGGUGCUUUUUAUUUUUCAGUUACCAUUUGGGAUAUUACGGAUAUUUAUUUAGCCUUUUUGCAGCCAGAGAAAGAUGGCUCUAGAAGAAAAAAGACUUCUGAUGGUAAACAUAUUUUGUUUUCAAGAAUUUUUGUAUUUUUUAGCUCCUAAGCCCCAUCAGUAUUAUUAGGGUCUGGUGGGUGUAUCAUUGUGGGAGAGUGGCUAUGGUCAUUUGACCAGAAUGAGAAAAUAACGAUAAAAUUUGGCAGUGAGAUUUGCAAAUCUGGUUGGAAUCUGGAUGGUUUUAUCAUAUUUUGGUGAUUAGUGAUUAAUCCUAAAAGUUUUAUUUACUAAUGUGAUGUCCAAAUUGUAGGCCUAAAUAACGGAAACGAUAACAUAACUGACUUGGAAGUUAUAUUUUCAAUUCAACUAUUUGACCUAAAAUUUGAAAUUCAUUUUUAAUUCACGUUGAAUUCCUGACAAAUUAUACUUUGAGAAAUAACUCAAUUUUGUUUUACAAAAGUGAGAAUUCAAAAUAAAUUUAUAGUGAAUUCUUUCCUACCUGGAGGAAUAUAACAUGUUCUGUUGUUUUCACCAAUUAUAAUGCUUCUUUUUGAGCUUAAAGUCAAUCUGUCUCUUCUUGUCGUCUUUGCUUCUGUUGCAAAACCCUUUGAAAGUUUCAGAUUUUUUUUUUUAACGAAAACAUGAGUGAGCAGGAAAAACACAUUUCUUUUAUUUCUUAUGGGAUUCAUAUUCAACUGUAGGUUAUAACAGAAUUGCACAAUCAUAAAACAAAACAUGGCAACAAAGAAAAGAAUUAAAUGACCCAUGUUCAAAGGUCUGCAUACCCUUAGUUCUUAAUACUGUGUAUUGCCCCCUUUGGUAUCAUUGACAGUGUGCAGUCUUUUGUAAUAGUUGUCUAUGAAGCCUCUUAUUCUUGCAGGUGUAAUAGCUGCCCAUUCGUCUUGGCAAAAUGCCUCCAGGUCAUGCAAAAUCUUUGGUCUUCUUGCAUGAUCCGCACCUUUGAGAUCUCACCAGAAUGGCUCGAUGAUAUUAAGGUCAGGAGACUGUGAUGGCCACUCCAGAACUUUCACCUUUUUCUGCUGUAACCACUGUAGGGUCAACUUGGCCUCAUGCUUAGAGUCAUUGUCAUGCUGGAAAGUCCAAGAGCGUCCCAUGCAUAGUCUUCGUGCAGAAGAAUGCAAAUUGUCUGCCAGUAUUUUCUGUUAACAUGCUGCAUUCAUCUUGCCAUCAAUUUUCACACGAUUCCGUGUGCCUUUAGUGCUCUCCCCCUAUCCCCCCCAAAACAUCAGUGAGCCACCACCAUUCUUCAUAGUGGAGAUGGUAUUCUUUUCACUAUAGGCCAUGUUGACCCCUCUCCAAACAUAACUCUCAUGGUUCUAACCAAACAGCUCUAUUUUGGUCUAGUCACUGCAAACUACAGUGUGCCAGAAGUUGUGAGGCAUGUCAAGGUGUUAUCAGGCAUAUUGUAACCAAGCUUUUUUUGUGGCAUUGGCGCAGUAAAGGCUUCUUUCUGGCAACUCAGCCAUGCAGCUCAUUUUUGUUCAAGUAUCGUCGUAUUGUGCAACCACACCAUCUUUUUCCAGAGUAGCCUGUAUUUCUCCUGGGGUUACCUGUGGGCUUUUCUUUGUAUCCUGAACAAUUCUUCUGGCAGUUGUGGCUGAAAUCUUUCAUGGUCUGCCUGACCUUGGCUUGGUAUCGAGAGAUCCCCAAAUUUUCCACUUCUUAAUAAGGGAUUGAACAGUACUGACUGGCAUUUUCAAGGCUUUAAGGACCAAACUUCUGUAAUAAAAGGGGUUGUGUCAUGUGUCCUUAAGGGGUUAAAUAUCUUUGUAUAUCCUUUUCCAUCUUUAUAAAGUUUCAUUACCUUGUUACGCAUGUCUUUUGACAGGUAUUUUCUGCUCCCCAUGGCUCAGUAUCUAGCCUGCUCAGUGCAUCUACGUGAG
rnacentral:lncRNA from 1 species